CCUACAGUCUGCUGCUGCUGCAUGUUAUAUUAUCCAUGUCAAAAUAAGAGUCCACGUCAGCGUCCAUAUAGCAGUACCAGGCGUCUGUUCACUUGCAAUACACGUCAUAAUUUAGUCUGGCUCCGAGUUUCGUCCCUCGAAGAUACUUCUCAAACGCAGCAUCCAUUUCUUCACUCUGGGCCUGACUGAAGUGGUUUCUCCAGUCACCAACUUCACCUUAAAGGAAAGAAGCUGGAAUGUUAUCAGGAUGCAAGUGGGUUCCCAGUAGUCUUGGAGAUGGGACCUGCUGAAGGGACUGUAAAACAGAAAUAUGAAGAUGGACGAGGAGCAAACAUGUCUGGUGUUCCAAAUGUUGAAGAAAGGACCCUGAUCGCUCCACCUAAUCGAACCCAGGACCUUCCUGCUGUGAGGGAGGUGAAGAAGCUUUUGGGCUGCAUUGCUGUCCGCUAAUGGAUCGGUACUCCAUCCUGAAGAUAACAGGUGAAGGAUCUUUUGGCCGAGCUUUUUUGGUUCAAACCAACACCGACAAAGAAAGAUGGGUGAUAAGCAAAUUGGACUACCAAAGGUAAUGCUGAUAUUGUGCCGUGGUUUCUGCAAGUACAGUGACGAUGUAGGUUGUUAUAUCUAGACGACAUGAUUGUAUUUUCAAUAAUAAAAUUGUU